rnacentral:rRNA from 1 species
GUUUCAGAUGUACGUGUAUCACGGGUAACGGUGGCUAAUACCGGACGAGCCGAAAGGUAAAAGAUUUAUCGCCCUUCGAGGAGCUCGCGUCCGAUUAGCUAGUUGGUGAGGUAAAAGCUCACCAAGGCGCGAUCGGUAGCUGGUCUGAGAGGAUGAGCAUCCACACUGGGACUGAGACGCGGCCCAUACUCCUACGGGAGGCAGCAGUGGGGAAUUUUCCGCAAUGGGCGCAGGCCUGACGGAGCAGUACCGCGUGAGGGAGGAAGGCUCUUGGGUUGUAAACCUCUUUUCUCAGGGAAAAAGUUCUGACGGUACCUGAGGAAUAAGCAUCGGCUAACUCCGUGCCAGCAGCCGCGGUAAUACGGAGGAUGCAAGCGUUAUCCGGAAUUAUUGGGCGUAAAGCGUCCGCAGGUGGCAUUUCCAGUCUGCUGUCAAAGACCAAGGCUCAACCUUGGGCAGGCAGUGGAAACUGAAAAGCUAGAGUGCGGUAGGGGUAGGGGGAAUUCCCAGUGUAGCGGUGAAAUGCGUAGAGAUUGGGAAGAACACCGGUGGCGAAAGCGCCCUACUAGGCCGCAACUGACACUCAGGGACGAAAGCUAGGGUAGCGAAUGGGAUUAGAUACCCCCAGUAGUCCA